rnacentral:misc_RNA from 1 species
UCUCUCUCUCUCUCUCUAAUUUUCUGUGACUGGGACAUGCCACUUAUAAAGGCUGUGGCACGUGGAAGCAAAACCUAGAACCUUUUUGAGCUUAAUUUGAAAAUUUUCUCCCUUUUCGGAAUAAGCUAGGUUGAAAUAUGUAUAGAAUUUUGGUACUCUAACUAGUACAUCAGUAAAAAUAGAAGUAUUACUUCUCUAUGGAUUCACUGGAAACUCCUGGUUCCUUAUGCUCGUGCAUUGUAGGCCCUUGAAAGGCAAAUCUUCAAGAAAAAAGUAAUAGAUUUUUCCACUUGAGAAUGUGAUUUCAUCGAAGGUGUGCAAGUUGCUUUCUUGACCCUGUUUUGUUAGAGUUCUUACAUUGCGGGAAUCGUUUCCAUGAUUGACUAGAAUAGUUAAUGGGGACAUAAAUAUGAUCAACCGUUUGAUGGUGUUGCCACCGUAAAUUGCUGCUAGAGUGCUAGCCAUGCAUGGUCUAUGUAUGCAAUCCUUUCCCAAAUGGUCAAUGCUUUGUUUGUUGUUUUUGUCUUUUUCUUUCUGGCCAAAUGUCCACCCACUACUACACUUUCAGUGUUUUUGUCGUAAUGAAGAUGAGAAUUAUUUGGG